UGACAAUGUAUAUGUAUACAUAUAUAGAAGAAAGGAGUGGGGAAAAAAUCAUUUUAACACGAAUUUUAACGAUUUAAAAAGUGAAAAAGAUUCAUUCCAUAACAGAAGUUAAUCGCGUAUAGCUUCGUUUAAAGAAAAUUGACUUUAAACAACGGAAGUUCCAUUGUCUGUUUAUAUAUCAACACGUUAUAUCCAGUCUGUGUUACGUCUUCGGACACGGAGUUAUCCAACAUUUAAAGUUUAUCGAAGGUCUUUUCGCUAUCUUCGCCAUUCCUGACUACUAAAUAUGGAAAGCAGAGGACAUAACCAAAAUUGGAUUGGACGUUGCCAAACAUAGCUCCUUGUAUUUCCCGAGUUGGCAGCUUGCAGCGUACUUGUCCUCUGAGCUCACUCUCAGCAAAGACCCGAUUUGGAACGGUUUUGUUCCAUUCUAUCAAUAAUAAACAAUUUAAAUUCUUAUCGCGGGACCCUUUAAUAGAUAAGGGCGAUGGACAGAAUGGUACCGAAUCUGAUUUGGCAGAUGAUAUAGCAUUUUUGCAUUCGUCCUGUUGGUUUUACUACCGCAAUAAUUACUUUCUUAUCUGUUAAAAAUGUACUAAUUUAAAUUUUAUGUCUUCAUUUAUAAUAUUUACAAUUUUGGUUAAAAUCCCUUUAAAUGUUGAACGACUUGGAAAGGGUGUACUCGUAGCUCGUUCCAAUUCUCCUUCUUUGGUUUACUGCCAAAUACCGCAAACACCUUUUAAAGUAGAAAAUCUAUUUUCAUCUUUGAAAUGUCUUCAAAUUAUCUAUUAUGUACUUAUUUUUAAUACCUUUGUUAAUAUUUUUUUUCCUCCUUCGCGAC
rnacentral:lncRNA from 1 species